rnacentral:rRNA from 1 species
GACGAACGCUGGCGGCGUGCCUAAUACAUGCAAGUUGAGCGCUGAAGGUUGGUACUUGUACCGACUGGAUGAGCAGCGAACGGGUGAGUAACGCGUGGGGAAUCUGCCUUUGAGCGGGGGACAACAUUUGGAAACGAAUGCUAAUACCGCAUAAAAACUUUAAACACAAGUUUUAAGUUUGAAAGAUGCAAUUGCAUCACUCAAAGAUGAUCCCGCGUUGUAUUAGCUAGUUGGUGAGGUAAAGGCUCACCAAGGCGAUGAUACAUAGCCGACCUGAGAGGGUGAU